rnacentral:tRNA from 1 species
AGGAAUAUAGUUAAAUAUAACAGUUUCUUUGCAAGAAAAAAGUAUUGAUUAAAUCAAUUAUUCUCA